rnacentral:pre_miRNA from 1 species
UAUAAUUUUUGAGUCUUCGUCUUAUUUAAACUUUUUUGUGAUUGAUAUUUUUGUUUUUAUUAGAUGAUAAAUCAUGAAUAGUAUUUUACGUGUGACUAAUUUUUUUUUCUAAUUUUCUAAAAAUUUUUCAAAUAAGACAGAUGGUCAAACGUUAGACACGAAAACCGAAG